CAGUAGCCGCGGGAAUACGUAGGUCCCGAGCGUUGUCCGGAUUUAUUGGGCGUAAAGGGAGCGCAGGCGGUUUAGUAAGUCUGAAGUUAAAGGCAUUGGCUCAACCAAUGUAUGCUUUGGAAACUGUUAGACUUGAGUGCAGAAGGGGAGAGUGGAAUUCCAUGUGUAGCGGUGAAAUGCGUAGAUAUAUGGAGGAACACCGGUGGCGAAAGCGGCUCUCUGGUCUGUCACUGACGCUGAGGCUCGAAAGCGUGGGUAGCGAACAGGAUUAGAUACCCGCGUAGUCCCUGUCUCUUAUACA
rnacentral:rRNA from 1 species